rnacentral:rRNA from 1 species
CCUACGGGAGGCAGCAGUGAGGAAUAUUGGUCAAUGGGCGAGAGCCUGAACCAGCCAAGUCGCGUGAGGGAAGACGGUCCUAUGGAUUGUAAACCUCUUUUGUCGGGGAGCAAAAAGGCCUCGUGAGGCCACAAGUGAGAGUACCCGAAGAAAAAGCAUCGGCUAACUCCGUGCCAGCAGCCGCGGUAAUACGGGGGAUGCGAGCGUUAUUCGGAUUUAUUGGGUUUAAAGGGUGCGUAGGCGGACUGGAAAGUCAGCGGUAAAAUCGAGAGGCUCAACCUCUUUCCGCCGUUGAAACUGUCGGUCUUGAGUGGGCGAGAAGUAUGCGGAAUGCGUGGUGUAGCGGUGAAAUGCAUAGAUAUUAGGAGGAACACCAGUGGCGAAGGCGACUUUCUGGACUGUACCUGACGCUGAGGCGCGAAAGCAUGGGGAGCGAACAGGAUUAGAUACCCUAGUAGUC